UGAAGUCACUGGAUGCAGCGGUUCAUCGAUCUCUUCCUGAAAUUGUUGUGAAAAAAGCAGAUCAAGAAUCGGUCGAUAAACCUCUGCAUCCAGCGUUCACUCC
rnacentral:pre_miRNA from 1 species